UAGUGGCAGACGGGUGAGUAACGCGUGGGAAGCUACCUUGUGGUAGGGGACAACAGUUGGAAACGACUGCUAAUACCCUAUGAGCCCUAUGGGGGAAAGAUUUAUCGCCAUGAGAUGUGCCCGCGUUAGAUUAGCUAGUUGGUAAGGUAAUGGCUUACCAAGGCGACGAUCUAUAGCUGGUCUGAGAGGAUGAUCAGCCACACUGGGACUGAGACACGGCCCAGACUCCUACGGGAGGCAGCAGUGGGGAAUAUUGGACAAUGGGGGCAACCCUGAUCCAGCCAUGCCGCGUGUGUGAUGACGGCCUUAGGGUUGUAAAGCACUUUCAGCAGUGAAGAUAAUGACAUUAACUGCAGAAGAAGCCCCGGCUAACUUCGUGCCAGCAGCCGCGGUAAUACGAAGGGGGCUAGCGUUGUUCGGAAUCACUGGGCGUAAAGAGUACGUAGGCGGACUGAUAAGUUAGGGGUGAAAUCCCAAGGCUCAACCUUGGAACUGCCUUUGAUACUGUCAGUCUUGAGAUCGAGAGAGGUGAGUGGAACUCCGAGUGUAGAGGUGAGAUUCGUAGAUAUUCGGAAGAACACCAGUGGCGAAGGCGGCUCACUGGCUCGAUACUGACGCUGAGGUA
rnacentral:rRNA from 1 species